AACGCUGGCGGCGUGCCUAAUACAUGCAAGUCGAGCGAACAGACGAGGAGCUUGCUCCUCUGACGUUAGCGGCGGACGGGUGAGUAACACGUGGAUAACCUACCUAUAAGACUGGGAUAACUUCGGGAAACCGGAGCUAAUACCGGAUAAUAUAUUGAACCGCAUGGUUCAAUAGUGAAAGACGGUUUUGCUGUCACUUAUAGAUGGAUCCGCGCCGCAUUAGCUAGUUGGUAAGGUAACGGCUUACCAAGGCAACGAUGCGUAGCCGACCUGAGAGGGUGAUCGGCCACACUGGAACUGAGACACGGUCCAGACUCCUACGGGAGGCAGCAGUAGGGAAUCUUCCGCAAUGGGCGAAAGCCUGACGGAGCAACGCCGCGUGAGUGAUGAAGGUCUUCGGAUCGUAAAACUCUGUUAUUAGGGAAGAACAAAUGGGUAAGUAACUAUGCACGUCUUGACGGUACCUAAUCAGAAAGCCACGGCUAACUACGUG
rnacentral:rRNA from 1 species